GAAGCAACCUGGUGCUAUUCCAGCCCAUCGUGAAUGUGGAAAGAGCAACCAGAGGGGCUGGUUACGCUGCGGAAUAGCUGCCUUUUCUUUGCUCCCAGUUCCUAAACUCUGCCCGUGUGUCUGGGCUUCCUCAUUCUGAUGAGGCGCCUGAGUCCUAGCAAACUGAAGGCACAGUUUUCAAAGCUGCCCUUGAGACAGGGCGGUGGCUGGGGCCGCAGGAAAUGAAGAAAACUGAUAGGCCAGGGCUCUGCAUUCCAGGCUCGGGCUUCAGGACACUUGCUUUGGAGGACAAGAACCACUUUGUAAAGACUAACCCAUGUUCCCGCAGACUGGAAGCCUCAGUGCCUAAGCUCAACCAAGCCCCGGCUGCAGCUGCAGAGACAGCUCCGCUCAGACCCGCCGUGACUUCAUGCGGGAGAUGCUGGAUAAGGUGAAACAAUGAAGAAACAGCUGGUAUGCAGCUCUGGAGAGCAGGCAGCAUUUUUUGAAAUGUGUCAUGGCCAUCGAACCAUUUUCUGUAUUGUAACAUUUACUAAAUUGUGACAGAACCGAGGAACCAAGCCUAAAGGUGACAGCCGAAGUGUUUCUCAGUCUUAGCCUCAGGUGACAGACAUUGGAGAAGCGGAUUAUUAGGAGAACCAGAACUCGAGGAGGCUCAAAAGUCCCAGAGGAAAGGGAGCUACCACUCCAGAAUUCUGUGCAGACUGUUUGCCUGGGAAGCACAUGCAGAAUUGGUAAAAGCCGAUGAGCAAAUUCAACUGAUACUCAAGUAGACCUGAAAGUAAUGACGCAAUGAAGAAUGCCAAAAUAAAACCUAAAACAGGCCAAAAAGGCCUGUGAAGAAAGGAAGAGACCAAUGAGGUUGUGCUUUGUGAAAAUGAAGAAGUUCUGCUCACUCAUAUAAUUAAAAAUAGUGAAUGUCCGAAACCGUACAGUCCCAUGGGGAAGAAUGACACUGAAUUUACAAAGGCAUCAAUUUAACAUGGACUAAAGCUCAGUCGAAUUAAAUAGACUAUUCAUGACAUGGAAGUAAUCAGCAAAAUGGAGAAAGGCCUUGCAGGCCAUAUGUCAGAAAGUUCACUGUUUUGUGUACAAGAGCAAUAGACAGAAAAACUCAGUUUAAAACUGGGCAGAGAAACCAAGUAGGUAAUUCUCCAAAGAAGACCUAAGAUUCCCCAAAUUUUAAUAUUGUCUUCAGACUGGAUUCUUUACACACUGCAGACUAAACACAGACAUCUGUUGAUUAGACUCCGCUGGUGAACUCUGGCCUGGCAAUGAACUCUGAUGGCAUUUGCCUGCAAACCCUUCGGGGUUAAGCCUGUCUCCUGGUUGACUGUGAAGUGGUUGCUCCCUCGCACAUCUAGACGACUCAGGCUUCUCGGCGCAGGCCAUGGACAUGGACACGGGCUGACUUCAGCAGCUGCCGCCUUACUGAUGUCUCCUUCCCUGCUCUCCUGCCCACGGUCCUCCAUCAGAUCCCAGCCUGGUGGCCACUCCCCUGUCACACUGCCUUGGCUGUCUACUCUCACGGAGGAAAAACGUCCCUACAUCUCUGCCAUCACGUCCAUUUUCUCUUAUUAGAUGUUGGAAGUCAUAGUUGUUGUUUCUUUGCCUCUUCUUCUGUGGAUUGUGAAUGGCUUAAAACGUCAGUCAGAAUAGGAUUCGUGCUGUUAGCUUGAGUCAGAGUAAGAAUCCGUACAGGCAGGAACCUCCCCUAUCAGUGGACUUGGGGAGUGGCAU